rnacentral:rRNA from 1 species
GCAUAUCAAUAAGCGGAGGAAAAGAAACUAACAAGGAUUCCCCUAGUAACGGCGAGUGAAGCGGGAUGAGCUCAAAUUUAAAAUCUGGCUGGUUUACUAGUCCGAAUUGUAGUUUAAAGAAGCGUUUUCGGUGGCAGCCUGGGUAUAAAUCCUUUGGAACAGGGUAUCAUAGAGGGUGAGAAUCCCGUCUUUGACUCAGUGCAUGCUACUAUGUGAUACGUUUUCAAAGAGUCGAGUUGUUUGGGAAUGCAGCUCAAAAUGGGUGGUAAAUUUCAUCUAAGGCUAAAUAUUGGCGAGAGACCGAUAGCGANCAAGUACCGUGAGGGAAAGAUGAAAAGAACUUUGAAAAGAGAGUUAAACAGUGCGUGAAAUUGUUGAAAGGGAAACGCUUGACACCAGUCAUGCGAGCGGAAAAUCAGUCUUUUGCAGUGGGGAGUUGUGUGGGUUCGGACCGCAAGGCCGGCCUGUGCUGCAUCUCUGCUGUAAGUGAUGCACUUUUUCGUUUGCAGGCCAACAUCAGUUUCUUCUGCUGGACAAAACUCUUGAGAAGGUAGCAGCUUGUGGCUGUGUUAUAGCUCUUGAGCGAUACAGUGGAGGGGACUGAGGUUUUCGCAGCGCGUGCUCUCGGGCAAGGCUGAUUGGGUGCUAUGGGAUCGUUCGGUGUACAAUGCAUGCAUUUGCGCCGUGUCUUUUCUAUACUCGCUCAACUCGGCUCUCCGC